GGUGGCGAGUGGCGAACGGGUGAGUAAUAUAUCGGAACGUGUCCAAUAAUGGGGGAUAACGAGUCGAAAGAUUCGCUAAUACCGCAUACGCCCUACGGGGGAAAGCAGGGGAUCGUAAGACCUUGCGUUAAUGGAGCGGCCGAUAUCUGAUUAGCUUGUUGGUGAGGUAAAGGCUCACCAAGGCGACGAUCAGUAGCUGGUUUGAGAGAACGACCAGCCACACUGGAACUGAGACACGGUCCAGACUCCUACGGGAGGCAGCAGUGGGGAAUUUUGGACAAUGGGGGCAACCCUGAUCCAGCCAUUCCGCGUGAGUGAAGAAGGCCUUCGGGUUGUAAAGCUCUUUCGCAAGGGAAGAAAACUUAUGAUCGAAUAAAUCAUGAGGUUGACGGUACCUUGAUAAGAAGCACCGGCUAACUACGUGCCAGCAGCCGCGGUAAUACGUAGGGUGCGAGCGUUAAUCGGAAUUACUGGGCGUAAAGCGUGCGCAGGCGGUUUUGUAAGUCGGAUGUGAAAUCCCCGGGCUCAACCUGGGAACUGCGUUCGAAACUGCAAGGCUAGAGUGUGUCAGAGGGGGGUAGAAUUCCACGUGUAGCAGUGAAAUGCGUAGAGAUGUGGAGGAAUACCAAUGGCGAAGGCAGCCCCCUGGGAUAACACUGACGCUCAUGCACGAAAGCGUGGGGAGCAAACAGGAUUAGAUACCCUGGUAGUCCACGCCCUAAACGAUGUCAACUAGUUGUUGGUAGAGUAAAAUCUAUGAGUAACGUAGCUAACGCGUGAAGUUGACCGCCUGGGGAGUACGGUCGCAAGAUUAAAACUCAAAGGAAUUGACGAGGGCCCGCACAAGCGGUGGAUUAUGUGGAUUAAU
rnacentral:rRNA from 1 species